GCAUUCGAUGUGUCUGUUUUUUACAGAGCCUCUGUUCAGUUUGCGUGAGCCACUGCGCCCGGCCGCAAAAUUAAAUUUUCAGAGGCUCAGUUUCUCUUCCAUUUUCCACUCUGCACUCCCCAGUGUUGGCUGGCACCAUGAUGGCUGGCAGGUUUCCAGAUAUUACAAACAGACAUGACAACAUCCACAGAAAAUAAUAAGGGAGAGCAUCUCCCGUGACAGGAGCAAGGAAACAUUUCCCAUUGGCCAGCAGCGUACAUCUGCUUUUAGUUGCUAAAAUGGGUUAUAUGUAAUUCCUGAAAUAAUCAUUGGUAUUACUUUAAAUUAGCCAUAGACUCUCAAAGGUUUUAGUUAAAUAAAAAAUCAGACUCUUAAGUUUCAUUAGCUUUUUAUGUAUGAGACAUAACAAGUGAUCCUUUAUUUUAAAAAGUAAAAUUACAAAUAUGUAUAAAUUUCAUAAUACAGAUAAUUUAAUGUAUAUAUUAAGACCACAAACAUAAUUUCACCUUUUUGAGAUUAAUGUUAAUUUUUAAAAGCAGAAAUUCUGAAAUAUAAAGUCUAUAUUGUUAGAACAUUUACUAGGAAUUUUUUAUGAUAUAGAAUAUUAUCUGAUUGUUUGUAGAUGUAGGGGACAGGGAAAAUAUUUUUGGUCUAACCUUGUUAAGUAUUUUUUCUUCCAGACUCAGAGGAGCCUACUCUUAAUUUCUAGAAUUCUGUUAGUUAACCUGAAGACUGAGAAGGCCAAGAUUUACAAUGUGGAAAUGAAACCAAGGUGUAAUUGGAAUUUGGGUGAACAUAUUUACUCAAUUCAUUUUUUAAAAUUUGAGACAGAGUCUCUCUCUGUCACCCAGGCUGGAGUACAGUGGUGUGAUCUCACUGCAACCUCUGCCUCCCGGGUUCAAGCGAUUCUCCUGCCUCAGCCUCCCGAGUAGCUGGGACUACAGGCGUGUACCACCGUGCCCAGCUAAUUUUUGUAUUUUUAGUAGAGACAGGGUUUCGCCACGUAGGCCAGGCUGGUCUUGAACACCUGGCCUCAAGUGAUCUGCCUGCCUCCACCUCCCAAAGUGCUGGGAUUACAGGUGUGAGCCACUGUACCUGGCCUCAGUUCAUUUUUACAGCACACAUACAUAGCACUAAAUUCAAAAGAAAUAAAAAUCUUAUCUCUCACCUUUUCUGAAGCUUUAAAAUCACCCUUUUCAGAGACAACUACACUUUCCAGCCUCUUCUGUGUUCUUGAGCAGAUAGUCCAUGUAAAUAGCAGAGUACAUUGCCUUAGAGUAGACAUUCAAGAUUUGAAAGUAUUCCUUUACUAUCUCAUAAUUCAGUGUUAGUCAUAUACCAGUGUCAUUAUGGAUUUCAUCAAUAAAAAUUUUGGUUCAAUUUAUUUUCACUAUACCCAAGUGUUUACUGUGGAGGAAGGGUCUGCAGUGUCCUUGGCCACAUUUAAAAAAUAUGGUUCAUUCCGGACUGUUUGCCCAGAUCUCUGCCUGGUGCACAAGAGAUAUUGUGGCCUCUACCACCAUCACCACUGGGAUUCUCUUCACCUCUCUCCUCUACUGAAUUUCUUGUUUUCUACUCAUUCAUUCUGGUGGAAAACCCCUUCCACUUGCUUUCUUUGAAGAGGUGACUUGGAAAUAAUUCACGUGGUUGAAAGGAUUUUAUUCUACCCUUCUGUUUUUGGUGUCUCCCUAUUCUUGGCCAGCAGGUUCCUAGGCAUGUUCUUUUCAUAGUAGAUGGCAGAAACACAAGAGGCUGAGCCAAAGCAUAUUUAAAGUAUCUAUAUCCAUUGUAAUCCACCCAAAUUCUGUUGACUAGACACAUGGCCAAGCCCAACACCAAUGGGGCAGGGAUGAGCUCUGCCAAGGGUGGAGAGUAAGGGAAGAAUUGUGGGCAAAUAUUCUAAGCCACCAGAUUCAUACCAACAUUACUGGCAUGACUGUGAGUCAACACAUUCCACUGUGGGGGGCAACUGAGCAAUAAUUAAUGAUGUCAUUGAGAAUAGUUUAUUCUUCACAGGCUUCUUGUAAUUCAGGUCUCUGCCCAAAUGCCACCUGAUUGAACAGGUCUUUCUUGACCACCCACUUGACUAGCCCCACCCUUCUGUCAGUCACACUCUUUCAGAUUAUUUUUAAAAAUUUCCUCAUUUCACCAAACACUAAGUGACAUUCUUUGAUUUUAUUUAUGUAUUUAUUUAUUUUAUUUUUUGAGAGGGAGUCUUGCUCUGUCACCCGUGUCGGAGUGUAGUGGCAUGAUCUUGGCUCACUGCAACCUCUGUUUCCCGAGUUCAAGCAAUUUUCCUGCCUCAGCCUCCUGAGUAGCUGAGAUUACAA
rnacentral:lncRNA from 10 species